GAUGAACGCUGGCGGCGUGCCUAAUACAUGCAAGUCGAGCGAACAGAUGAGGAGCUUGCUCCUCUGACGUUAGCGGCGGACGGGUGAGUAACACGUGGAUAACCUACCUAUAAGACUGGGAUAACUUCGGGAAACCGGAGCUAAUACCGGAUAAUAUAUUGAACCGCAUGGUUCAAUAGUGAAAGACGGUUUUGCUGUCACUUAUAGAUGGAUCCGCGCCGCAUUAGCUAGUUGGUAAGGUAACGGCUUACCAAGGCAACGAUGCCUAGCCGACCUGAGAGGGUUGUCGGCCGCCUCGGAACUUGGGAACGGGCCAGACGUCUACGGGAGGGAGCAGGAGGGAACCUUCCGCAAUGGGCGAAAGCCUGACGGAGCAACGCCGCGUGAGUGAUGAAGGUCUUCGGAUCGUAAAACUCUGUUAUUAGGGAAGAACAAAUGUGUAAGUAACUAUGCACGUCUUGACGGUACCUAAUCAGAAAGCCACGGCUAACUACGUG
rnacentral:rRNA from 1 species